CAAGAAGACUAGUGAAUUGCGUAAACUGAGGGGUAAGGGUAUUGAUUAAGAAAAGUCAGUCAACUUGUAUUAUUAAAAUUUAAAAUUUAUAGGCAUGUUGCAUGAACUAGCUGAGAGUUUUGACAACAAAAGUGAUAUCAGUUCUUGGUAUAGUAGCAUACAUAAGCUUGCCCAUAAGUCUUUGAUAAGAAGAAACAUCAAUAAUAAUUCCCACAGCUAUAGCAAGGCGCCGCCCUGGUCUCAGCACUGCUCAAUUCAAGGCACCGCCACCUGGGCCAAAUUUCAACAGUUUUUGUCCGUUUCUGCAAGGGAAAGAUGAACAAGACCUAGGGUUCAUAUUUCAAGACCUAAAUCAUCAAGGUUUCACCGUGAAUCUUCCGUGAAUCAAAUAGCAAGGUUCAGGAGCGCGAGAUCCAGAGCACCCUUGGUAGCUCAGUUCCAGUCAGCAGCAGUAGACCUAGCAGUGAGUCCUCAUCAUUCGAGGAUGGUUCUUAUUUCAUUUGAUUACUAGUUUUAGUAUUUCAGUAGUUGGAGCCAGUUGGGGACAUGUCCCAUCAACUCCUUAUUCAGACAAUUUAGAGGCUUUCAGACUACAGCAUUUUUCAGACGAAUGUAUUAGUAUUCAGUUUUCAACAUUUUGUAUUUUUAGACGUUUGAACCUUAUGGCAUGUUUUCCGCAUU